rnacentral:rRNA from 1 species
GACGAACGCUGGCGGCGUGCUUAACACAUGCAAGUCGAACGGAAAGGCCCUGCUUGCAGGGUACUCGAGUGGCGAACGGGUGAGUAACACGUGGGUGAUCUGCCCUGCACUUCGGGAUAAGCCUGGGAAACUGGGUCUAAUACCGGAUAGGAGCCAUUUUUAGUGCGAUGGUUGGAAAGUUUUUUCGGUGUAGGAUGAGCUCGCGGCCUAUCAGCUUGUUGGUGGGGUAAUGGCCUACCAAGGCGGCGACGGGUAGCCGGCCUGAGAGGGUGGACGGCCACAUUGGGACUGAGAUACGGCCCAGACUCCUACGGGAGGCAGCAGUGGGGAAUAUUGCACAAUGGGCGCAAGCCUGAUGCAGCGACGCCGCGUGGGGGAUGGCGGCCUUCGGGUUGUAAACUCCUUUCGCUAGGGACGAAGCUUUUUGUGACGGUACCUAGAUAAGAAGCACCGGCUAACUACGUG